GAAUAUUGGACAAUGGGCGCAAGCCUGAUCCAGCCAUGCCGCGUGAGUGAUGACGGCCUUAGGGUUGUAAAGCCCUUUCGGCGGGGACGAUAAUGACGGUACCCGCCGAAGAAGCCCCGGCUAACUUCGUGCCAGCAGCCGCGGUAAUACGAAGGGGGCUAGCGUUGUUCGGAAUCACUGGGCGUAAAGGGCGCGUAGGCGGCUGUGUAAGUCGGGGGUGAAAGCCUGUGGCUCAACCACAGAAUUGCCUUCGAUACUGCAUGGCUUGAGACCGGAAGAGGUUAGUGGAACUGCGAGUGUAGAGGUGAAAUGCGUAGAUAUUCGCAAGAACACCAGUGGCGAAGGCGGCUGACUGGUCCGGUUCUGACGCUGAGGCGCGAAAGCGUGGGGAGCAAACAG
rnacentral:rRNA from 1 species